UACAGAGGGUGCAAGCGUUGUUCGGAAUUACUGGGCGUAAAGGGCUCGUAGGCGGCCAACUAAGUCGAACGUGAAAUCCCCGGGCUCAACCCGGGAACUGCGUCCGAUACUGGAAGGCUUGAAUCCGGGAGAGGGAUGCGGAAUUCCAGGUGUAGCGGUGAAAUGCGUAGAUAUCUGGAGGAACACCGGUGGCGAAGGCGGCAUCCUGGACCGGCAUUGACGCUGAGGCGCGAAAGCCAGGGGAGCAAACGGG
rnacentral:rRNA from 1 species